GACGAACCGUGCGAACGUUGUUCGGAAUCACUGGGCUUAAAGGGCGCGUAGGCGGGUCAUCAAGUCCGGGGGUGAAAGCCCCCAGCUUAACUGGGGAAGCGCCUUGGAUACUGCCGGCCUCGAGGGAGGUAGGGGCGUGCGGAACUUCCGGUGGAGCGGUGAAAUGCGAUAGAUAUCGGAAGGAACACCGGUGGCGAAAGCGGCGCGCUGGAC
rnacentral:rRNA from 1 species